AUCAGAAAAUUUUUCCUAUAAUAUUGCGAGUAUUUUUCUUGAGUAUAAGAAUAUUUUGAGCGUAGUUUUUCUGCAAGAUUUUCUCAGAAUAAUAUUCGAUAUUCCAGUCAAAUCCAGUUUCUACCAAGGUAAAGGAUAUUAUUUAUUUGCAAUACUCGUGAGAAAUAUUAUUUUCUUUCAUACUCCAUAUUAUGUAAGCGAUAUUAUUUCAUCUCGUAUUCUUGAAUUUGAACUUACUAUGGUAAGUAUUGCUUCUAUAAUUCCUGAAAUAAUUAGAAAUUUUGCUUCAUCUAAAAUCAUUUCAUAGGAAUAUUGGUCUGAACUUUUAAUCAAAUUUGGAACUUUUCAUGACCGGGUACUGUUCACGGUUACUGUUCACGGGUACUGUUCACAAAAGAAUUUUUUUUUUCUUCCUUUCAAGAUAUCUGUUGUGACUCUUAUUCUUGAAAUUGAAUCCAUGUUUUUAUCUUCACUAUGGUUUAUUAUGGAGCGUUUUUGAACUUGGUUCAUCUAAAGUACGAAUUCCUAAUCUUUGUUCUUCUGUCUCACUGGAUUCGUUCUCUAAAAUAUUUUUCAUCAUCCUCAGUCUUUAAUGGUGAUACUUGAUGAAUAUCUUUGGCCUGUAGUACAAAGAUGAAUGAUUACCUGAUAAAUAUCUUUGGCCCGUAGUGCAAAGAUGAACAGGUGUUGAGAUGAACAUGACCAACUGGUGAUACAAAUGAAUAUCUUUGGCUCGUAGUGCAAAGAUGAAUAAUUGAUGCAAGAUGUAUAUUGAUUGAUGUUACAGGGAUAAAAUAUUGAUGAUAGACUUUUAAAUUCAUAGAUGAUAGUAGAUUUGAUUCUCUACUUAACUCUUCUAAUGAAUUGUUAUUUCCGCUGCGAAUAUUGAUCUAAACCUAGUUGUCCAUUAUAUUUUAUCUGAUUUGUUGAAGGCUAACGAUAAAUUGUUGUUCUUUAUCUUAGUCAUAAUAUUCUUUACUGGGCUAGUUGAACUCACCCUUUUCUUUUUUGUUCCAUUUUUCUUCUUAGGAGAUGAGAAUAUAGCAAGAACCAGUCGGAGUAAAGAGUGAUGGUCCUAGACAAUUGUUUUAGCAGUCCUCGCUAGUUUUGUAAAAUAGUGUAU
rnacentral:lncRNA from 1 species